CACCUCUCAAGGUCACACCUGGAGAGUUUCUGGUACUCUACCAGUCUCAACUACGGGAGGGAGAGUGAAGCAGAUGCCUACCCAUUCCAUUCCUAGCUUGGCCAGUGGCUAGCAAGCGGAAGGCAAUGUGCUACAAGU